rnacentral:rRNA from 1 species
GGGACUGAGACACGGCCCAGAUUCCUACGGGAGGCAGCAGUGGGGAAUAUUGCACAAUGGGCGCAAGCCUGAUGCAGCCAUGCCGCGUGUGUGAAGAAGGCCUUCGGGUUGUAAAGCACUUUCAGUCAGGAGGAAAGGUUAGUAGUUAAUACCUGCUAGCUGUGACGUUACUGACAGAAGAAGCACCGGCUAACUCCGUGCCAGCAGCCGCGGUAAUACGGAGGGUGCGAGCGUUAAUCGGAAUUACUGGGCGUAAAGCGUACGCAGGCGGUUUGUUAAGCGAGAUGUGAAAGCCCCGGGCUCAACCUGGGAACUGCAUUUCGAACUGGCAAACUAGAGUGUGAUAGAGGGUGGUAGAAUUUCAGGUGUAGCGGUGAAAUGCGUAGAGAUCUGAAGGAAUACCGAUGGCGAAGGCAGCCACCUGGGUCAACACUGACGCUCAUGUACGAAAGCGUGGGGAGCAAACAGGAUUAGAUACCCUGGUAGUCCACGCCGUAAACGAUGUCUACUAGAAGCUCGGAACCUCGGUUCUGUUUUUCAAAGCUAACGCAUUAAGUAGACCGCCUGGGGAGUACGGCCGCAAGGUUAAAACUCAAAUGAAUUGACGGGGGCCCGCACAAGCGGUGGAGCAUGUGGUUUAAUUCGAUGCAACGCGAAGAACCUUACCUACACUUGACAUACAGAGAACUUACRAGAGAURGUUUGGUGCCUUCGGGAACUCUGAUACAGGUGCUGCAUGGCUGAC